ACUGCCCCAGAGGUGUUACAGACGUGGCUGCUGUGUUGCAUUUGUGUCAUCGGGUGGCAGAGAGAAGAGAGGCUGUGUCUACACUCAGGGUUCUGACCCGUGAAUGUUUGAAUGAUUAAUAGUUUGACACU
rnacentral:snoRNA from 1 species